AUCCCCAUCCUAUUAAGCCAGCAGCGCUGCCAUCUUCCGCUUUUACAUGGGAUUCCCCUAGUAAUGGCGAGUGAAGAGGGAAGAGCUCAAAUCUGAAAGCUGGUACCUUCGGUAUCCGCGUUGUAACCUCGAGACACGKYYYSCYKSYGSYKMURKGGACAAGUUCCUUGGAACAGGACAUCGUAGAGGGUGAAAAUCCCGUACUUGCCAUGGAUGUACCGUGCUUUGCGAUACGUGCUCUAAGAGUCGAGUUGUUUGGGAUUGCAGCUCAAAAUGGGUGGUAGACUCCAUCUAAAGCUAAAUAUCGGGGAGAGACCGAUAGCGAACAAGUACCGUGAGGGAAAGAUGAAAAGCACUUUGGAAAGAGAGUUAAAAGUACGUGAAAUUGUCGAAAGGGAAGCGCUUGAAGUCAGCCAUGCCGCUCAGGACUCAGCCUGGCUUUUGCUUGGUGUAUUUCCUGGGUAGCAAGUCAGCAUUGGUUUGGAUCGUCGGAGAAGCAUAGUCGGAAUGUGGCKSCYUCKSGSGUSYKRUAGCCUUCUAUUGGAUACGACGAUCUAGACCAAGGAACGCAGCGCGCCUUAUGGCGGGUCUUCGGACACCUUCGCGCUUAGGAUGCUGGCGUAAAGAAGGAGGGAGGGUGAGGCCUACUCUUAGG
rnacentral:rRNA from 1 species